GGUGCUAUCCCUUAGUCAUGCUCCCAGGAUAUCCUGUGUGGGGACUCUUAUUUUAAGUAUGUUGGAAUAGCUCCACUUUCUCAAUGGUGGAAUUUUUCAAGUCUUGCCUCCGGCUCUCUUUUUCAAACACCAGUCAUUUCAAUAUGGUCAGGGCCUUUAUAGCAAUUUACUCCUUAGAGCAAAAUAUUUGGCCUAAAUACUCUGGGCUGUCAUGGUGUCUGGUCUAGGUGGAAGGACAGUUGCCGGCUCCUCGGGUUAAGUGAAUUCUUCCAUCUUCAUUUCUUCACAUGGAGCUCUGUCUGCUGCUGCUGUAAGAAAAAUGACACCGAACCUGGGAGGAAAGACAUGAGACAGAGAAAUGUAAUGAGCACUUGUCUUCCGGAUCAAAAGCAGCGUGGGCGUGAGCAUCAUCAGAGUCAUUCUAGCAGGCACAGGGACGCUCAUCCCGACUACAGAGCUGACUACUGUGUCCACCCCGGGAACGAAGUGUCCCAUUCUGAAGGUAUUUUGUGAUCAUGGUUCUCUCCCUGCUGAAAGCCUACAUUGCCUUCUCUCUCUCUGUGUUUGGGUACAGAGUGACCUGUUUUGUCAUCAGGCUAAGCUCAGUGAGACAGGCUGCGGCGGGACCACGAUCGUCACCCGAGACAUGAGUCUAGCACACAGAGGAACCAAACAGGCACGGCCGGGGCUUCCAGCUUUGAUGGCCAACGUCUGCUCCUCUCGCUGCAGGACCCACUGCACAGCCUCAGAGGUUUGAAACAGCACAAGAAACUGGCUGUGGCUUGACAGGCUCCUAUGCUUCCAGGUCUCACAAGGCCGCAGACAAGGUGUCGGCUCGGUUUCGAUCUCAACUGAGGCUUGGCUGGAGAAGGAUUCACGCUCAAGCUUCCUCUGUUGUUGACAGAAUCCAAUUCCUUGCAGCCGUAGGACCAAGGGCCCCUUGUUCCGCUGGGUGUUAGCUGGUGGUCUAUGCAGGCUGUUGGCUAGGCCGCCCUCAACACCUAAAGGCUCCCCCAGUUCCCUGCUACCUGGAGGUCCCCAGGACCAAGGGCCCCUUGUUCUGCUGGGUGUUAGCUGGCGGUCUAUGCAGGCUGUUGGCUAGGCCACCCUCAACACCUAAAGGCUUCCCCAGUUCCCUGCUACCUGGAGGUCCCCAGCUUGGCUGCCUGCUUCCUCAGAGCUGGCCGUGGAGAGAAAGCGACCCCGGGGGGCUGCCCUUGGGGUUCAGGGGUUAAGAAACUGCCUACUAAGGCAGGUGACUGGGUCGGACCCCUGGUCUGGGAAAGUUCCAGACGCCACAGGGCAGCUAAGCCCAUGUGCCACAACCACUGAGCCCGCAAGCCGCGACGACUGCAGCAGGAGACGUUGGCACAGCGAGAAGCCGGAGAAUGGCAGCGCGUGAGGAGCCCCACCUGCUGCAACGAGCGGAGGCUGGGGCACAGCCACGGAGACGCGGCACACUCAAAGAUAAAUUAAAAAAUAAAAAUAACUU
ensembl:lncRNA